CUAGGAUUAAAGAAGAAGGAGGAGAAAAAGUUUGAGAGCAAGUUGUUGGGGUUGGUGUCCGCAUCUACGGGGUUAUCCUAUCACAAUUUUAGUGUGAUUUUCAAUUAACGUUCACUUGUAAACAUAUUAGGAUCCGUGUCAAAUGAUUUUCAUCAUCUUUAUUUAAAUUUUUUCACCAAAAAUUAAAAUUUCAUUAUCCCAUAUUCAUAAUCCCCGGUAGUUUUUAUAGAGAAAACUAAAUCUUUAUAUUGUUAAAUAAUAGUAUCGUGGUACCGGUGACGUCGGGUCACUUCAUUUUAUAUAAUUUGUGAAAAUUAAAAAUUAUUUCACCAAUUAAAGGCGUGUGUGUUUAUGUGAGUUU
rnacentral:lncRNA from 1 species